rnacentral:tRNA from 1 species
CAGAGUAUAGCUUAACCUAAAGUCUUUUGCUUACACCAAAAUCAUGUUUGUGAAAACCAAACUACUCUGA